rnacentral:rRNA from 1 species
UACAGAGGUCUCGAGCGUUAGUCGGAAUCACUGGGCUUAAAGCGUGCGUAGGCGGAUGUGCAGGCGUCGUGUGAAAGCCCUCGGCUCAACCGGGGAAUUGCACGGCGAACCGCACGUCUCGAGACAAGUAGGGGCGGGUCGGAAACGAUAGGUGGAGUGGUGAAAUGCGUUGAUAUCGUAAUCGGAACGCCAAAGGUGAAGAACAG